rnacentral:rRNA from 1 species
GACGAACGCUGGCGGCGUGCUUAACACAUGCAAGUCGAACGGGCCCGCUCUCUUUUUUGGGGGUGGGUUGGGGGGCGAACGGGUGAGUAUCCCGUGAGUAACCUGCCCCCUUCUCCUGGAUAACUGCUUGAAAGGGCGGCUAAUACGGGGUGUGCCGGCUGGUCCGCCUGGGCCUGGUCGGGGUAGGUUCAUCUUCGGGGGGUUCGGGGGGGGAUGGGCUCGCGGCCUAUCAGCUUGUUGGUGGGGUGAUGGCCCACCAAGGCGGUGACGGGUAGCCGGCCUGAGAGGGUGGGCGGCCACACUGGGACUGAGACACGGCCCAGACUCCUGCGGGAGGCAGCAGUGGGGGGUAUUGCACAAUGGGCGGAAGCCUGAUGCAGCGACGUCGCGUGAGGGAUGGAGGCCUUCGGGUUGUGAACCUCUUUCUCCGGUGGUGAAGGCCCUGUCCGUUGCGGCGGGGUUGACGGUAGCCGGGUAUGAAGCGCCGGCUAACUACGUG